CCUACGGGAGGCAGCAGUGGGGAAUAUUGCGCAAUGGGCGAAAGCCUGACGCAGCGACGCCGCGUGAGGGAUGAAGGUCUUCGGAUCGUAAACCUCUGUCAGCAGGGAAGAACGGUCACUGUGCUAAUCAGCAGUGAAUUGACGGUACCUGCAAAGGAAGCACCGGCUAACGCCGUGCCAGCAGCCGCGGUAAUACGGAGGGUGCGAGCGUUAAUCGGAAUUACUGGGCGUAAAGCGCUCGUAGGCGGUAUGUCAAGUCAAGGGUGAAAUCCCCGCGCUCAACGUGGGAACUGCCUUUGAAACUGGCAAACUGGGGUGUGUGAGAGGAUAGUGGAAUUCCAGGUGUAGGAGUGAAAUCCGUAGAUAUCUGGAGGAACAUCAGUGGCGAAGGCGACUAUCUGGCACAUAACUGACGCUGAGGAGCGAAAGCGUGGGUAGCAAACAGGAUUAGAUACCCUUGUAGUC
rnacentral:rRNA from 1 species